GAAAAAGUACGCAAGAACUGCUAAUUCUACACCCCNUGCCUAACANUACGGCUUUUUCA
rnacentral:tRNA from 1 species